rnacentral:rRNA from 1 species
UGCUGAUACCGAAUAAAACUUAGUGUCGCAUGACACAAAGUUAAAAGGCGCUUCGGCGUCACCUAGAGAUGGAUCCGCGGUGCAUUAGUUAGUUGGUGGGGUAAAGGCCUACCAAGACAAUGAUGCAUAGCCGAGUUGAGAGACUGAUCGGCCACAUUGGGACUGAGACACGGCCCAAACUCCUACGGGAGGCUGCAGUAGGGAAUCUUUCACAAUGGGCGAAAGCCUGAUGGAGCAACGCCGCGUGUGUGAUGAAGGCUUUCGGGUCGUAAAGCACUGUUGUAUGGGAAGAACAGCUAGAAUAGGAAAUGAUUUUAGUUUGACGGUACCAUACCAGAAAGGGACGGCUAAAUACGUGCCAGCAGCCGCGGUAAUACGUAUGUCCCGAGCGUUAUCCGGAUUUAUUGGGCGUAAAGCGAGCGCAGACGGUUUAUUAAGUCUGAUGUGAAAGCCCGGAGCUCAACUCCGGAAUGGCAUUGGAAACUGGUUAACUUGAGUGCAGUAGAGGUAAGUGGAACUCCAUGUGUAGCGGUGGAAUGCGUAGAUAUAUGGAAGAACACCAGUGGCGAAGGCGGCUUACUGGACUGCAACUGACGUUGAGGCUCGAAAGUGUGGGUAGCAAACAGGAUUAGAUACCCUGGUAGUCCACACCGUAAACGAUGAACAC